rnacentral:tRNA from 1 species
GGGGUUAUGUUGUAAGUGGAUAGCAAAUGAGUCUUCUAAAUUCAGAGUCUAGGUUCGAGUCCUAGUAGCCCUACCA